AUGCAACGCGAAAAACCUUACCUACCCUUGACAUGUCACUAACGAAGUAGAGAUACAUUAGGUGCCCGUAAGGGAAAGUGAACACAGGUGCUGCAUGGCUGUCGUCAGCUCGUGUCGUGAGAUGUUGGGUUAAGUCCCGCAACGAGCGCAACCCUUGUCUUUAGUUGCUACGCAAGAGCACUCUAAAGAGACUGCCGGUGACAAACCGGAGGAAGGUGGGGAUGACGUCAAGUCCUCAUGGCCCUUAUGGGUAGGGCUUCACACGUCAUACAAUGGUGCGUACAGAGGGUUGCCAACCCGCGAGGGGGAGCUAAUCUCUUAAAACGCAUCGUAGUCCGGAUCGUAGUCUGCAACUCGACUACGUGAAGCUGGAAUCGCUAGUAAUCGCGGAUCAGCAUGUCGCGGUGAAUACGUUCCCGGGUCUUGUACACACCGCCCGUCACACCAUGGGAGUGGGUUUUGCCAGAAGCAGUUAGCCUAACCG
rnacentral:rRNA from 1 species